GUAGAAUAUGUAAGCUCUCAAACUGAUGCAUGUAUCCAUUUGCAUACAUGGGUGCCAUCGCCGCACCCAUGGAAGUACCUGCAAUCUGGCGGUACCAUUUAGUUUCAAACCUAAAAUAGUUCUGAGACAGGACGAUCUCCAAGAGUUCCAGUGCAAACUCCACGGGUGGUCCAGUAUAGUAGGGAGACUGAGAUAGAAGUGCUCUCAUAGCUUGUAUACCGUCUUGGUGUGGAAUUACGGUAUAUAAGCU